rnacentral:rRNA from 1 species
GGUUAAUAUUCCUGUACUUGGUGUUACUGCGAAGGGGGGACGGAGAAGGCUAUGUUGGCCGGGCGACGGUUGUCCCGGUUUAAGCGUGUAGGCUGGUUUUCCAGGCAAAUCCGGAAAAUCAAGGCUGAGGCGUGAUGACGAGGCACUACGGUGCUGAAGCAACAAAUGCCCUGCUUCCAGGAAAAGCCUCUAAGCAUCAGGUAACACGAAAUCGUACCCCAAACCGACACAGGUGGUCAGGUAGAGAAUACCAAGGCGCUUGAGAGAACUCGGGUGAAGGAACUAGGCAAAAUGGUGCCGUAACUUCGGGAGAAGGCACGCUGACACGUAGGUGAAGUGAUUUACUCACGGAGCUGAAGUCAGUCGAAGAUACCAGCUGGCUGCAACUGUUUAUUAAAAACACAGCACUGUGCAAACACGAAAGUGGACGUAUACGGUGUGACGCCUGCCCGGUGCCGGAAGGUUAAUUGAUGGGGUCAGCGCAAGCGAAGCUCCUGAUCGAAGCCCCGGUAAACGGCGGCCGUAACUAUAACGGUCCUAAGGUAGCGAAAUUCCUUGUCGGGUAAGUUCCGACCUGCACGAAUGGCGUAAUGAUGGCCAGGCUGUCUCCACCCGAGACUCAGUGAAAUUGAACUCGCUGUGAAGAUGCAGUGUACCCGCGGCAAGACGGAAAGACCCCGUGAACCUUUACUAUAGCUUGACACUGAACAUUGAGCCUUGAUGUGUAGGAUAGGUGGGAGGCUUUGAAGUGUGGACGCCAGUCUGCAUGGAGCCGACCUUGAAAUACCACCCUUUAAUGUUUGAUGUUCUAACGUGGACCCGUUACCCGGGUUGCGGACAGUGUCUGGUGGGUAGUUUGACUGGGGCGGUCUCCUCCUAAAGAGUAACGGAGGAGCACGAAGGUUGGCUAAUCCUGGUCGGACAUCAGGAGGUUAGUGCAAUGGCAUAAGCCAGCUUGACUGCGAGCGUGACGGCGCGAGCAGGUGCGAAAGCAGGUCAUAGUGAUCCGGUGGUUCUGAAUGGAAGGGCCAUCGCUCAACGGAUAAAAGGUACUCCGGGGAUAACAGGCUGAUACCGCCCAAGAGUUCAUAUCGACGGCGGUGUUUGGCACCUCGAUGUCGGCUCAUCACAUCCUGGGGCUGAAGUAGGUCCCAAGGGUAUGGCUGUUCGCCAUUUAAAGUGGUACGCGAGCUGGGUUUAGAACGUCGUGAGACAGUUCGGUCCCUAUCUGCCGUGGGCGUUGGAGAACUGAGGGGGGCUGCUCCUAGUACGAGAGGACCGGAGUGGACGCAUCACUGGUGUUCGGGUUGUCAUGCCAAUGGCACUGCCCGGUAGCUAAAUGCGGAAGAGAUAAGUGCUGAAAGCAUCUAAGCACGAAACUUGCCCCGAGAUGAGUUCUCCCUGAGACUUAGAGUCUCCUGAAGGAACGUUGAAGACGACGACGUUGAUAGGCCGGGUGUGUAAGCGCAGCGAUGCGUUGAGCUAACCGGUACUAAUGAACCGUGAGGCUUAACCUUACAACGCCGAAGCUGUU